GUCAGGAUGGCCGAGCGGUCUCUAACGCGCUGCGCUCAGGUCGCAGUCCGGUCUUCCGGGCGUGGGUUCGAAUCCCACUUCUGACA